CAGUCGCCGCGGUAAUACGGAGGGUGCAAGCGUUAUCCGGAUUUAUUGGGUUUAAAGGGUCCGUAGGCGGAUCUGUAAGUCAGUGGUGAAAUCUCACAGCUUAACUGUGAAACUGCCAUUGAUACUGCAGGUCUUGAGUAAAUUUGAAGUGGCUGGAAUAAGUAGUGUAGCGGUGAAAUGCAUAGAUAUUACUUAGAACACCAAUUGCGAAGGCAGGUCACUAAGAUUUAACUGACGCUGAUGGACGAAAGCGUGGGGAGCGAACAGGAUUAGAGACCCCUGUAGUCCCUGUCUCUUAUAC
rnacentral:rRNA from 1 species